rnacentral:rRNA from 1 species
GACGAAGGGGGCUAGCGUUGUUCGGAAUUACUGGGCGUAAAGCGUGCGCAGGCGGUUUGUUAAGUCUGUUGUGAAAUCCCCCGAGCUCAACUUGGGAAUUGCAAUGGAUACUGGCAGGCUGGAGUAUGGUAGAGGAAGGUGGAAUUCCCGGUGUAGCAGUGAAAUGCGUAGAGAUCGGGAGGAACACCAGUGGCGAAGGCGGCCUUCUGGACCAAUACUGACGCUCAUGCACGAAAGCGUGGGGAGCAAACAGG